UUAAAUUAUCAAUCAAAUUGCAGUUCGACUAUACGAUUUUCAAUUUCAAAUUCAAAUUUUAUUUUGAAGAAGAAAAAAUCUAUAUAGACACACCCCCGUUGAAAAAAAAACACGAUGGUUGAAACUUCCUUUUCACCGUUUGAGUAAAGACACAAACACAUUAUACAUUGUUUUCCUUCAUAAUCCUUUCGUGUAAUUAGUUCAAGUCAAAGGUGGCAAUGCGUCAAAACGUUUCUGGUUUUUCUGCCGCC
ensembl:ncRNA C41G11.12 ncRNA